UGGAAAGGUGAGGUAAGAGCUCACCCGAGGUACGGAGACGUACUUUCGCUGUAAACUCUAUUCGGAGCAACACCGUGGGUAGAGCUGCGUUAAAUCGCAAGGUUAGCCCGACCGCUCUCGGGAGGUGGCACGAGCUUAUCGGUAACGGUAAGCCAAGAUAGAUGAUAGCAAAGCCAUCAUAUAAGUAAUACACUUACUUUUAUGAUGGCUCUUACAGAAUCCGGCUUAUAGGCUUACUCACAAU
rnacentral:RNase_P_RNA from 1 species